rnacentral:rRNA from 1 species
AGAGUUUGAUCCAUGGCUCAGAACUAACGCUGGCGGCGUGCCUAACACAUGCAAGUCGCACGAGAAAGGGGUUUCGGCCCUGAGUAGAGUGGCGCACGGGUGAGUAACGCGUAGGUGAUCUACCCAUGGGACGGGGAUAACUUACCGAAAGGUGAGCUAACACCCGAUGUUAUCGGGAGAUAAAAGUGAUGAUGAGUCAGCCCAUGGAUGAGCCCGCGUCCCAUUAGCUAGUUGGUAGGGUAAAGGCCUACCAAGGCGACGAUGGGUAGCUGGUCUGAGAGGAUGGCCAGCCACACUGGAACUGGAACACGGUCCAGACUCCUACGGGAGGCAGCAGUGAGGAAU